GACAGAGGGUGCAAACGUUGCUCGGAAUUACUGGGCGUAAAGCGCGUGUAGGUGGAUUGGUGUGUCAGAUGUGAAAGCCCUGGGCUCAACCCAGGAACAGCACCUGAAACUACCAGUCUUGAGUGGUGGAGAGGGAAGUGGAAUUCCUGGUGUAGAGGUGAAAUUCGUAGAUAUCAGGAGGAACACCAGUGGCGAAGGCGGCUUCCUGGACACCAACUGACGCUGAGACGCGAAAGCGUGGGGAGCAAACAGG
rnacentral:rRNA from 1 species